GUAUGAUCAAUGGAAACAGGAUGCGCCGGAGCUCAAUUUCAAGUCUCAUAGCAAAGGAUGCUGAUUGUGAAGUUGUACUAUCAGCCAAGGCUCCACAGUUCGAUUCAACUAGAUUGCCAAGAACAUGGACCAAUGAGCUUCCACGACUCUUCAGCGGUGUCAAAUGAUUGACCUGGACAGACGACAGGCAGCCAAUGAAACCCUUGGAUCCUGCCCUAAGCACUUCCUCAUCCAAACCAGCAUGUCCUGCUGAUGUUGUACCUGUGACUUUACCUAAAGUCAGAGAUCGUAGUGUGUUCAUCUUCAUGUCAGAAGAAGGUUGUAUUUUUGGUUGAUGUCUUUGUCAAUCUGGUUUAAGAAAAAAGCAAACAUUUCCAUAUACACAUCAAGGUGGGCUGACUGUCUAUGCUGUAAGCAUAAUGCUUUGCUAUGUUGAAAUAGAUUCCGAUUGUCACACCCUGGCCAUAGAGAGGUUUUUAUUCUCUAUUUUGGUUAGGCCAGGGUGUGACUUGGGUGGGCAUUCUAUGUUCUGUUUUUCUUGUUUGGCCGGGUGUGGUUUCUCAGAGGCAGCUAGCUGUCUAUCGUUGUCUCUGAUUGAGAGCCAUACUUAGGUAGCCUUUCCCACCUGAGUUUUGUGGGUAGUUCUCUUUAGUGUUUGUAUCGCCUUUCAGAACUGUUUCGGUUAUUCCGUUUGUAUUUAUUUAGUGUUCAGUUAUUUUUAAUAAAUAUGAACACGUACCACGCUG